rnacentral:lncRNA from 1 species
UGAGUUGGUCUCAGUUUACUCACAAUGUGACAUUGAAUUGAUUCAAAUGAAGAGAGAAAUCAUGGCAAAAGAUUUUGCCGAUCAUGACUUCGACACUAAGAGACAAAGUUUGCCUAACCCCUGGCAAGCAGCUGGUGCAUCUGCGCUUGCUUGUGCUUUUGGGGCUGUCAUACCGUUAGUUGCUGCUGUGUUCAUAAAUGUUUAAGUGGUGAGGUUAGUGGUGGUGCUUGGCCCUGUUAGGGUUUGGUGCGUUGGGAGCCCUUUUGGGGGGUGCACCCAUGUUGAAGGCGUCGUUAAGGGUGCUGGUCGGAGGAUGGUUAGCCAUGGGAAUAACUUUUGGGUUCACCAAGUUGAUUGGUCGUUCAGGACUCUAAUCCAUCUUCUAUAUUUAAUAUAUACCUUUUUCCCACAUGUUUUUUCUUUUUGCUUGUCAUAGUUAUGAGUCUAUCCAAGGAUUCAACAUCUACUCCUCCAUCUAUAUGCGGAUCUUGACAUAUAAUUUGAGGGAUCAAUUAAUAAUACUCCAAAUAUUUUAAAUUAUUUGAAUAGUAUUGACUUUCAUGAAGUUUAAGAAAAAAAUUUCGAUUUUAAUGUAUUUAAUAUUAAAAUUAAAAUUUUUUUAUAAAAUUAAAAUUCCAUAACUUUUAAUAACAAAAAAUUAAAAAAAUCAUAAAAAAUAAAAGUUUUAGAUGAUAAAAAAAAUAAUUUUGGGGCAUCUCAAAAAAGAAAAAUGAAAAAAAUGUGAGAGAGAGAGUGUAUAAUAUAUUUUAUCUCAUAUUUUGAGGCGUUUUUUUAUCAUACUAUUAAUAUAUAUAUAUAUAUAUACACACACACACACAUACACAAACAAUAUACUAAUAAAAACAUGAUAAGCUCAUAAAAAUUAUAAAAUAAAAAUAUUAUUAUGACAACAUUAUUCUUUUAAUAAUAAUAUAAUUUAUAAUUAAUCGUAGAAUUACUAAUUACACAAUUUGUCUAUAAAUUAUGAGAUUUUUUUUACAAUUUAAAAUUAAAAUAAAAAAAGCAUGAAUACAUAAUCAUUUAACAUUUUAUCAAAACAAAAAAAUAAAUAUAUUUUUAAAAAUAUGGAGAUGAAAUUUUGAGACUCAAAGUUAUAAUGUUUUUCUAUCCUUUUGUAAACUAGUUUCAAUAUGAUUUUUAUUUGUUGGAAAAAGAAUUUUAACACUUGAUAGACAUUUAAAGCAAAAAUAAAAGUAGAAAAUGAUACGGAGAGGAGUUGUAGUAAGCUAAAUCUCACUUUCUUUAAAUCUCCUAAACUUUGACCUCUCUUGUACCAAAAAAAUAUAUAUAUUUGGUGCUUAGUUGAAUACUUUAAUUUUUCAAGAAUGUUGAAAUGUUAAUUUAAUUUUUGUUAUGUUCAUUUUAUUGUGAUUUAAAUUUUAUGACAAAUCUCUUAAUUUUAAAAAUUUGCAAAUAAUAACCGUUGGAUAGAAUAAAUGAACAAAUAUCAAUACAAUUUAAACAUCUCUUAAAUUGCAAUAUGUAAAAUUGAAUUAUAAAACACAAAAAAAAGAAAAUUAAUAUUUUUAAUUUAUAAGGUCAAUUUAAAUAUAUUUUAUAAGAAUAUAUAUACAUGCUAAAGGGUGUUUCAAAAUUUUGGAAAGGGCCAAGUUCCCCUCAGGUUCUCAUUACCAACCACCCAUUCCUCCAUCCCAUAUAUACGUGUCUUGUUUGUCUAUCUUUAGUUGUUUCAAACAAUAUGUUUUGUUUGAAAAGUUAAAUAAAAAUCAUUUUUACACUUAUCUUAUUGCUCUUAAUUAUACCUACAAACACUCUUUUUUUUUUUCAAAAUAAAGAUAAUUAAAAAAAAUUAUAAAUCAAUGAAAAUCAAAAUUCAACUCAAAAUUUUUAAAAUAUUAUGCAAAAUCAAAAUGAAACAAAAUACACGAGACGGAAAAAACUAUAUAUGAAAAAGCAAUUAAGUAUUGAUGUAUUUUCCUUCGUAUAUAGAAGUUUUUGCCCUAUUUUUCACCAAAUGAAAGAAACAACCCAAUUACAUACAAAUAUGCAAUUUGAUUUCCCAAUCUCAUGGCUGAAAAAGGGGGAUCCCACAGUAAAGAUCCUAGGGUAUUUUUGUUUGUUUACUUACUAUAGCAGCACGAAAUAGGUUAUUAAAACAAAUGUGUUUUUCAGUCGUUCAGAAACACAAUCCCCAUAGUUGAGUUGGAACUAGAUUAACGACGAUUGCAUGAGGACAGAUUUUGACCAUAAAUGGUUGUUACACAAACUGGUUUGAUAUUAUGAUUGUCUCUAACCAUUUGGAAGAAGAAAAACAACUUCUCUAAUUCCUCCCUUUUUUUUCCAAUUGAUAAUAGUUUAUAAAAGGGUGACGGCUAAAUUUAGACGGCAAAGAUGCCAUUAUUAGUUAAUUAUUUAUUAUUAUUACUAGUUUGAUGUGUAAUUUGAUUGCGUUUUUUCGAAAAGUCGUGUCCAAGAUAACUACUACUUAUUUUAGUAACAAUUUUUUUCCAUUAAUCAACGAGUUAAAUCCUUUGGGUUAGUUUGGCUUUUGUUUUUUAAUUUCUAAUUUAUCCUUAAAGUCAAUAUCCUAUUAUUUAUUUGACUAAAAAUGAUAUUACGUACAUAAAUUUUUUUAAACUCGUAAAACUUUAAUUUUAAUGAUAUGUCAAUUGAGAUAAGAGUUAAUCAAAAAAUUUUUUGUUUUUUUAAUACAAUAUAAAAACAAAAAAAUAAAAAUAAAUUGAUACAUAAAAACGAAUAAUAAAAAGCAAAAAUCAAUUAUUACAGUAUUAGAACAUAUUGAAAAAUUAAAGUUUUUGAAUUUUAAUUUUAAUUAUAAUUUAAAAUAUUAAAAAAAUCAAAUGAAAACGAAAUUAACUUGAAUUCCUUUUGAUGAUUUAAUGAUUUCUUUUGCAGAAAGCAUACAAUAAAAAGCAGGACUCGUCGAUUAAUCAGUGAAGGUAAUGCUUGAAAAAGAAAUGGAAUAAAGGAACAAGGCAUGAGAGGAACUGCAACUUUUUUCAGUUAUUAGUCAUUACUUAUUCUUUUGGUAAAAGCAAGUUUAAAAAAAUGGUGAAAGAGUGUUGUAGGAGAAGACUAAUGGGAGAGACCAAAACAGAAAACAACUGGAAAUAAUCCAAAUUUUAGAUGACAUUAAUCUUAACAAUUGCAAAAGAUGAAGGAUUAUAUGUUGGAAUAAUUAAACAAAUGAAGCAUCCAAGACGAUCCAGUUUCAUGUCAAGUUGUUGGUGGAGAAUCGAGGAUGAACUGAAACAGCCUAUUACCCCAUAUAUUCAGUUAUUCACAGAAUAUAUAGGCUUUGAUUUGAAAAUUUUUCAUUGUUUUCACAUUUCUAAUGUUCACAUAAUGGAAUGACAGCAAUAAUUUGAAUAAAAAUUGUAUUGAAGUUACAUACAUAAAUAUUCAUGUGUAGCUUUUAAAUUAGGUAUUUAAAUUGUUUUUUUUAAAGGUUGCAUAUGAUAAAUUGGGUCUAAAAGAAGAGAUUUGAAUUCUAAAAUUAGUAUAAAUUGUGUGAGAAAAAUAUGUAAAUAUGAUCGACAAUGUUUUUUGAAUUAACGAGUUUUAUUUAGUGUGAAUUUCGUUCUCGCAAUGUAUCUGUAUUUGAGUCCUGGACAAGUAAAAUCCUUUUGUUGGGCUGAACAAAAGAAAUCAAUUUAUUCGCAAUUAACGUAUACAGGUUAAUGGGUAGGGAGACUAGGCUCAAGUGCCUGGCUUGGUUUGGGCUGGGUUUUAGUGAAGAUGUUUAUAAUUAAUUAAUUGAUUACAUUAGAUACAAAAUAUAUUUAAAUCUGUUAAUCUUGUGCCUCUUGUUAAAUUAUAGGUGUCACGAGUCGUGUAUUUGUAUUGUGUAAAUAUUAAAAUUUACGUAUUUAUAUUUUUUAUAUUAAAAUUAUGUCGAUGAAAAAAUAUAAAAUAUAUUUUUUAUUUUAUUAAAUUUAGAUAUAAUUAUUAUCAAAAUUUUAAAUUAUGUUGCCUUCAAUUUAUUUGUAUUCGUAUUUAUAUUUUAUUAUUGUAUCAUAUUUUAGAUGAUCGAAUCUAUUAAAUUGUAUGAUUUUUUUUUUUUGGGAGAUGGGCACUAAAGUGUAUGAAUUGUUAAAGUUGCAGAUAAAAAAAACCAUUAAUCUCAACCAGGUAAUACCAAAUUCAAUGAAAAUCUGUGAACUACUCCAUUAACUAGGGGAAGACUUAAAGUUCCAGCGACAACCAGGGGAAAAAUACCUGAAUAAAGAAUCAAUCAAUCUUUGCUUGUCAUGGAAAAACUCAGAAUAAACUAUUAACAUCCUCACCCUUCCUAGUGUGAAAGAAUUAGAUUCCUCUUAUUAUAUAAUCUAAAUGGCAAGUGGCUAUCACAUCACUGCUACAGUGAAAUGUGCUUAUAAAGAAGGGCGUGUGCCCACCACACUCCAUAUCCAAUAAACAUUUUCUUACAUUCCACUUACAAUUUCCUACUAUACCAUGCCAGCUCUAGAACUUGAUCAACAGAUCAGAUCUGAAAGCUUCAAAAACAAUAAUAAUAUUGCAGCUGCAGAAACAAAUGAAGAAAAUGAAGUUGAGUUUUUUGAUUAUACCAAGAGGGCACAGUGGCUUCGAGCUGCUGUUUUAGGAGCCAAUGAUGGGUUGCUUUCUACGUCUUCUUUGAUGAUGGGAGUUGGUGCCGUACGUAAAGACUCCAAGACCAUGGUCCUUACAGGGAUCGCUGGUUUGGUUGCUGGUGCUUGUAGCAUGGCGAUUGGUGAGUUGGUCUCAGUUUACUCACAAUAUGACAUUGAAUUGACUCAAAUGAAGAGAGAAACAAUGGCAAAAGAUUUUGCCGAUCAUGUCUUCGAGACUAAGAAAAAAAGUUUGCCUAAUCCCUGGCAAGCAGCUGGUGCAUCUGCGCUUGCUUUUGCUGUUGGGGCUGUCAUGCCGUUGCUUGCUGCUGCGUUCAUAAAGGUCUAUGUGGUGAGG